rnacentral:lncRNA from 1 species
CCACAUCAUAUGCACGACUUGCAACCUUGCUGCACUUCAAGCCGUUUCUGGCAUAAUCAAUAUAUGGGGACUGCAAAGCACGCCCUGGUCGUGCUGGCCUCCUAGGCGGAGGUUGAUACGCAGGUGUGUGUGAAGUGCUGGGAGCAGAUUGUAGACCAUAGGUUGUAGCUGAUGUUGUCUUUUCAACUCUUGUUGGCUUCCUUUCUGAAUGUUCAAUUGGGUUAUCUGUAGGUACAGGAGUUUGCUUAACUGCACUGCUAGAAAGUAACUUAUCUGUCCUAUUCCUUUCUAUAUCUUCAAUUUGGGCAUCAAGUUCUUUAAAUUGUUCUUCACUUAAAUUGUCCCAAAAAUAAUCAUCAUCAUAUUUCCUUGCGUUCCUUUCUGAAUUACAUUCACUUGGCUUUGAUGGUGGACGUUCACGGGGUGUGGGAAAAUCAAUGAAUCUCAUAAUGUCCAUUGGUGGGGGAUCAAAAUCCCAUUUAGAGUGCUUUUCUGAUUUUUCUUUGUUUUCCACAACACUAGCAGAAGGAGGGAGCCUUUAGCCAUGAAAAAAGAACAAAAAAUUAGUGUUAGUACUGUUGUGUUACUAGAAAAAAACUUGAUUUAAAAACAAUGACAAAAAAAUGCUAUCUAUUCAUAGUUGCAAUACUAUCUCUCCAUAGUCGAGCAAUUUUAUUCAAAUGACAUAACAAAGGAGUGAUACUAGUGUAGGUGACCAUUUAACACAUAAACACAACUGACCCAUAAAGUAUGAAAAAAUAGACACAAAAAAAAAUAUAAUUUCUACCAAAUUACAAAUAACUUGCCUCACUAAUAAAUAUUAAGUUGCUUAACACAAAAAAAUAUAUCCCAUUUACCUCAGCCUUUCCCUUCUUGAUUGAGAAGGAACAACUUCUAGUGGUGUUGGUUCUGAUUCCCUUGAAUCACCAGCCGGUGCAUCAACUUUAGUGUGCUUUUUUGAUUUUUCAUUCUUUUCCACAACACUAGCAGGAGGAGGGAGCCUUUAGCCAUGAAAAAAAACAAAAAAAAGGGCUUAGUACUGUUAUGUUACUAGAAAAAAACUUGAUUUAAAAACAAGGACAAAAAAAUGCUAUCUGCUCAUAGUUGCAAAUACUAUCUCUCCAUAGUCGAUCAACUCAUUGAAGUGACAUAACAAAAAGAUUGAUACUAGUAUAGGUGACCAUUUAACACAGAAACGCGGCUGCCCCAUAAGUAUAAAAAUAGACACACAAAAAAAAUUGCUACCAAAUUACAAAUAACUUGCCUCACUACUAAUAUUAACUUGCUUAAUAACUAAAAUUGCACGCAUAUUUUAAAAGUGGUUCUCUACUACUCAUAAACACUUAGAAACACAUGCACCAAAAUGCAUUGUUUUAGGAUUCAUCUAGCCUGUUGCACACUCCAGCUUUCCUGCAACAGAAAAAAGUUGGCAAAAAUAAAUCAACUUUGGUGUCAACUUUACUAUAACAACAUGGCAGAAAAAAGCGUGUGGAGCUAGAAAAAUGUAAUUUUUUGUGUGGGGUGGGGUAGGAAGCAGAGGUGCAAAUAUUUAUUCAAAAAAAUUACUGAAAAAAUCAAUCCAAUAGAAACUGUAACAUACUUAACACAAAAAAAAUAUAUCUCAUUUACCUCAGCCUUUCCCUUCUUGAUUGAGAAGGAACAACUUCUAGUGGUGUUGGUUCUGUUUCCCUUGAAUCACCAGCCGGUGGAUCAACUUUGUUGGUUGCAUCAUCCUCACCAGAGACACCCUCAUCCUCUAGCUCCACUUCUUUGGCCACCUCCUCAUCCUCUAGCUCCACUUCUUUGUCCACCUCCUCAUCUUCCUCGUCCUCGUCCUCAUCCUCGUCCUCCUUCCAAUCCUCCUCCUCCUCCUCCUCAUCCUCCUCGUCCUCCUCGAUCUCUUCAUCUUCAUCAACAUCCUCUUCUAUUCCUCCAGUCGACUCAAAGGAGCGAGGGGUUCAAUGCUUUGUUGAAGAAGUAUGUCAACCCAAACUUGUCAGUGCUACAGUUUGUGAGGCAGUACCAGAAAAUACAAGAAAAGUGUCUGGUUGCACAGGAUGGGCAAGACUUCAGGACCGAUGAGAAUGAGCGAAGACGAUGGUCAAGGCAUCCACUUGAGAAGCAUGCUUCCACUGUAUACACAAAGAAUAUGUUUUACAGGUUCUCCAAAGAGUUUGAGAAAACUGCAGAAUAUGAUGUGAAGCCUGUAGGGCAGUUCCAAUAUUGGUUGGAGCCCAAUAAUAGCUUUGUUUUUGGGUAUGGAAAAAGGAACUAUCUUGUUACAGCAAUAGAAGAGGAUGAAAGCUAUUGCUGCGAGUGCAGCAAGUUUGAUAGGGAUGGAAUCAUUUGCUGCCACAUUAUGAGAGUUAUGGUCAGAAUGGGUGUGAAAUUAAUACCAGAAAGGUACAUCCUUAAAAGGUGGACGCAACAAGCAAUUGCUAGUGAUACUAACCAGGUCCAAAAUGUGAAUGCACCAGUGGGACUUGUGGCCCGUGGGAUGCCAUUGACUAGUGAGAAAACUUUGAGAUUUACCAACGCAACCACCGCGUUUGCAGCAAUAGCAGUGGAAGGUUGUACAAAUGAUGAAAACUAUGCUAUUUGGAGAAGCACAUCAAGGAGAUGCGAUCUGAAUUUGAAGAAAUUAAGAAAAGGACGAUGGCAAAUAGGCAAAACACUAGUGGUGCAGAAGGUGGUGCUACAGAAGGUGCACAAAAUGGUACAGGUGUCUCUACUCUAACUGGACCUUCAUUGCAAACUGCAAGUUUAAAAAACUAGACACUAUAUUCUGCUUUGCUUCAUUUUUGUAUGUCUGUACUAUAUUGAUUAGUUGCUUGUUGCAUUUCACAUUGUAGGUGCAGUGGCUGGUCCAAAUACAUCAAGUGUAGCGAACCCCCCAAAAUCAAAAGCUAAAGGGCGCAGGAAGGAGAAGGCACACAAAAAAGGGAUGAAUGGUCAAGCGAAGAGGAAGAAUAAGUGCAGCAUUUGCAAAUCAUAUGAUCACAAUGCACAGAGAUGCCCGGACAAACUCAAAAAAAAAUAAAAACAGUUUCUUAGUGGGAAUACAUACCUAGCAAAUAUUCAUUUUACAUCUCCAUGCAAUAUUGUUUUCUGGAUGUUGGAGCCAUUUGUAUGUGAGCAUCUUUCGAAUAGUUGGCAUAUCUUUUUCCUUAAACUCUGGCAUGUUAAUACCAUUCCAGUGUUCACAGUGCAUUAGCAUGUGGAACCCGCAGUCAUGACUGCAAAAAAAAAAGUCAUAAUCAUAUGGAGGAUGACAGAAACUUUAGAUAUGAAAAUAAAUAUGUAUGUUGAACUGUUGACCUACUUGUUUGACUGCAAUGGAACAUUAAUAUCAAUCAGUUGGUACUUGUCAAUAUUCUUCCUUGAAUUAGGGUAAUGUUUGCGCCAAAGUUCCUUAAUUGCAGUGAUCAAAUUGUUGCAGCAUGUCUUCAAGUUAAUGUCAGCGAGAGACCUCAUAGAAUCGAGAACUUCAAACCUUUCUUCCCUUAGGUUCAAGACUAGAAGGAAGAAGUGGCCCACUGUUCUAUCAAGCCUUUUGAAACGAAUAUUUUGCAAUACAGGAAACAUGACCUACAAAAAAAAUGCUAGCAAAAAAAUGAGAAUAGCUACUAAAACCAAAAAAAGGCUUCAUAGCAUCUAUAUUGCCAGAAAAAACAUAAUCCUUGAGUGAUAUAACAGCUAGCAGGCUUCUAAAAAAAUAAAAAUAAAAAAAUGGUCGUGAAUCGAAUUGAGAUAUGGACAAUUUAACAUAGGAACUACCUGUUGUUCUCUGCCCUACACAUGUCAUAUUUUGUUAUUUUCUAUAAAUUGCUCCACAAAUUUUAGAACACAAAAACAAAAAGUUAUGAUGGUAGGACACCAAGAUUGCAUAUUUUUUUUUAAAAAAAAGUAUAACCUAAAACGAAACAAUAUUAUAGCCUAAUGAACAUAGUUAAAAUGCCUAUUUUGAAAAAAAAGAAGAGGAUUAAGUGGACGAUCAAUUACCAAUUGAGAACGGUCUAGGUGAUGGAGGCUUCUUUGGAAAGCACAAUUAAUCUCCCCAUUAUCCAGAAUCCCAUCUUGUAGAAAAGACUGUAAAAAAAGAGAAUUAAAAAAAUAAUGUUAGAAAAAAAGUGCUUGUUUGAAAAAAAUAAGCAUACAAACUAAGAAACAUCAGUAAAAGUAAAAAGAAAAGGGGGGAUUCUCACAGCUAUUCUUAGUGGGAGUAUUUGUUUUACAGGGAUCUUGGCCUUUCUGUCUUUUAAUGCAUAUAUAGCAAUUUCAGCUACUGUGUUGAAUAAUUUUCCACCUGGUUUAACUGAUUCAGAAAGGUGCUUCAAGCUCACAUAGUAAUCUGGAUAACUCGCUGCGUACAACAUAGAUGGGUCAUAGUUAAAAAAACAAAAAUACAAAAUGAAUUCGAGAGUUUAACAGGCGGAAAUGCCAGUCAAAAAAGAAAAAGUUGCACAUACUCUCCUUGGCUUGAGCUUUGACUCGAACUCCUGGUUGACCUUCUAGUGGCCGAGCAUACCACAUCAUAUGCACGACUUGCAACCUUGCUGCACUUCAAGCCGUUUCUGGCAUAAUCAAUAUAUGGGGACUGCAAAGCACGCCCUGGUCGUGCUGGCCUCCUAGGCGGAGGUUGAUACGCAGGUGUGUGUGAAGUGCUGGGAGCAGAUUGUAGACCAUAGGUUGUAGCUGAUGUUGUCUUUUCAACUCUUGUUGGCUUCCUUUCUGAAUGUUCAAUUGGGUUAUCUGUAGGUACAGGAGUUUGCUUAACUGCACUGCUAGAAAGUAACUUAUCUGUCCUAUUCCUUUCUAUAUCUUCAAUUUGGGCAUCAAGUUCUUUAAAUUGUUCUUCACUUAAAUUGUCCCAAAAAUAAU